CACGUAGGGCGCAAGCGUUGUCCGGAAUUAUUGGGCGUAAAGAGCUCGUAGGCGGUCUGUUGCGUCUGCUGUGAAAACUCGGGGCUUAACCCCGAGCCUGCAGUGGAUACGGGCAGACUAGAGGUAGGUAGGGGGAGAAUGGAAUUCCCGGUGUAGCGGUGAAAUGCGUAGAUAUCGUAAGGAAGACCAGUGGCGAAGGCGGGUCUCUGGACAGUUCCUGACGCUGAGGCACGAAGGCCAGGGGGAGCAAACGGG
rnacentral:rRNA from 1 species